rnacentral:pre_miRNA from 1 species
GCCAGUGUCAUUUUUGUGCUGAUGCAGCUUGUGAACUCUGACCCCAGUUGCAUAGUCACAAAAGUGAUCACUGAC